UCUGGAGCUGCACAAAACCAAACACAUCAAAUUCCUUCAAGACAAGCUUCACCGCGCAAAAACUUGAAACGACUGUCAGUUUACUUCUAACUCGGGUUCAAAUGCUCAUUUAUAUGCGACUUCGGAGGCAAAGCAGUUAAAUUGUCAGAAUUAACAAAUUUGUUUUUAACACAAGAGCAGCCAGGAGUGAAGUCAGGAGCGUAUUGAUCACAGGAACAGAGACAUUAGUCUUCAGAUGUCAUGAGAAUAAUCACAGCCAGAUAUGACCCUUGUGCUCUGUUUGAAAACUUGAGAUCUUGGCCAAGACUUUCAUUCCACUUCCGCAACAAAUUUAGGGUCAGCAGAAAAGAUUCAAGCUUUCCAUGGAGGAGGGAGUAGAUAAACAUCAGUGUCAUGAGCAUCAAUUAACUGCUUUCUGUUGCUGGUUCACUUUCCAU